CUCUGGUAAAGUGAGCUUCAUCAAAUUGCAGGGUUUCCUUCCUUCCCAAUGUCCGGUUAGUUCGUCUCUGAGGAGCCCGACACUCGUGCACAGUUCCUCUCAGUCCCUGUUAUACUUUCAUGUGAAGGGUAGAGAUGGAUCUCAUGCCUCCGCAGUGACCCAAGCCACAGCAGAACUCUGAAUCCUUAACCCACUGAGCCACAGGGGACCUCCAGUACAAAGUUUAAAAUGACUAACAUCAUGGAAAUUGGUUUUAAGUCGAUGUGCUGUGAAACUUACAGGUAAUAUAAGAACUUGAAUAAUGAUUCAGUUUUGCUGAAUAAAUUUGCAGUUUUCAUGUUCCUAAAACAUUUCAUUAGAGUAAUGUUAGGGUUUUUUAAAUAAUUAAACUAGUAGAAGUUUAGGAAGUUCAAAUCAAUUAUUCUCUCAGUAAGGAAACGAACUUGAUUAAAACACACAAUUGUAUUAUAUUUUACAGUGAAAAAAUACUUAGUUGAGGUUUUUUGUUUUGUUUUUUAGCCAAACAUUAAAAGAAUAUCAUUUGCCUAAGAUCUGGUUUAGUUAUUUGAAAAUGGAUUUCUUCUAUACUAGAAAUUUCUGUAAGAAGGAUUUUUUUUUUAAUCUUGCACAUUUAAAAGUUUAUUUUUUGAAUUUUAGGACUAGAUUUAUGUGAGUGUGUAGUCAUCUUGAUAAGUGUUGGGAAGGAAGAAAUUUUUCUUUCCUUCUAGGUUCUUCUGGCUGGCCUAAGAAUUAAAUUAACGUGAAUAGAGAAAAUUAAACAAAAAACUUAACAUGUACAUGGGAGAGACUCAGGAAAAUCAAUGUCCCCAAAUGUUUGAAGGAAAAUCAAUGUCCCCAAAUGUUUGAAGGAAAAUCAAUGUCCCCAAAUGUUUGAAGCCUUCACACUAAAUACAUUCUCAGAGUUCCUGCUGUGGCUCAGCAGGUUUAGAACCUGACAUAGUGUCAGUGAGGAUUCAGGUUCAAUCCCUGGCCUCACUUAGUGGGUUAAAGAUCCAGUGUUGCUGCAAGCUGUGGUAUAGGUCAUGCAGAGGUUGCAGGUGCAGCUUGGAUCGGGUGUGGCCGUGGCUGUGGCCUGCAGCUGCAGCUCUGAUUCAACCCCUAGCCCAGGAACUUCCAUAUGCCGCAGGUGCAGCUGUAACAAGAAAAUAAAUAAUAAAUACCAUUCUGAGCUAGAGACAAAAGAGGAUAUUGGGGUUGGUAGUCUGUUCUGGGAGGUCACCAGGAAGAGCACAGUGAACAAGGGUAAGAUCGUUAAGCAGAUUUAAAUCAAUGCUUUCUCUGUUGAUAACUGUCAUUAAUUGCAAAAGGGUAGGUAAUUCCGGAGUUCCCGUCACUGAGCAGCAGAAACAAAUCCAACUAGGAACCAUGAGGUUUCAGGUUCAAUCCCUGGCCUCCCUCAGUGGGUUAAGGAUCCAGCG
rnacentral:lncRNA from 1 species